rnacentral:rRNA from 1 species
UACAGAGGUCCCAAGCGUUGUUCGGAUUCACUGGGCGUAAAGGGUGCGUAGGUGGUGAGGUAAGUCGGAUGUGAAAUCUCCAGGCUCAACCUGGAAAUGGCAUUGGAAACUACCUUGCUAGAGGGUUUGAGGGGGGGACUGGAAUACUUGGUGUAGCAGUGAAAUGCGUAGAUAUCGUCAAGAACACCGAUAGUGAAGACAGCUUACUAGACUUCAACUGACGCUGAGGCACGAAAGCAUGGGGAGCGAACAGG